UUAGACUUGGGAAAGAAACUUUCCCUUUGUGUGUUGCUCUUGGGGCUGCAGGGUCAGAGCAGCAAUGCUGUGUAAGGCUCGAACCAGGCCCCCACUUCUGCACUCGGAGUGACAGAGUGGGGAUUCAGCCUCGAUGGGCCUGGACUGGAACUGGGGAAUCCACCCAUCACAGAGGAAGAAGCAGCCUUCUUGAAUCGGGGACAGAACCGGACUCAGGAUUCCAGCAGUGGUUGCACCAGUGCCAGAUACAGAGGCAUUGUGGGAGGCUCAGGGCUCGUGGGGAAGAUGGAGCUGGCUACGGAAGAUGUGUCGAGAAAUAGCAAACUCCGACAAAAGGCUGAUUGCUGGAGCUGAGACAUAAUUAGGGGUGGAGGAAACUAAGACACCCGAAACCUGCAGGGGGGAGAGAAUACAAAGGAAGCAACCAAUGCAGUCUAUUGACCGUGUGUCAUAGACACUAUACUGCCAAUACAUGACACUCAGUUGUUUCAGUCACACACUUUAGGGUGGCUCCUUUCUUCCUAACCCAGGGGUCUCUCUAGGUGAGGACCACGUUACUGUAAUAUCUUAGCACCUGACGACCUCUAAUGCAUUGAUCCUCUCAAGUCCCGGUCCUGGGCUGAAUGACUCUCAGACAACAUUUGUCCCAGAUUCCCUGUGGUGCUGCUGUGUGCCUUCCCAAGGCUCAGGAGCAGUGUCAAUAGGGUUGGCAACCUGGAGUCCCCAGGAAUUAAAGAUUAUGUCAUGUGAUGAGACCUCCAGGAAUACGUCCAGCCAAAAUUGGCAACCCUAGGUGCC